UAGACUGUAGCUCAGAUGUGGAAGAGCAACUGCCUGUCACGCAGUAGGUCGGAAGUUCGAACCUUCCCAGUCUAA
rnacentral:tRNA from 1 species